UGGGGGGGGGGGGGGGGGGGGGGUGAUAGCACCCAAGGGUGGUGCCACGAUUGGGUAUGGCGGGGGCGUCGCCGUGGUGACGUCACGAUGACGUCAUCAUGAUGUCACCCGAUGCCACGGUGACGUCACGGUGAUGUCACCCGACGCCCAGGGGGUGUCGUCACCCAAAGCCACAGUGAUGUCACAAUGACGUCACCCAACACCAUGAUGACGUCACCCAACGCCAUGGGGACACCCUGAUGACGUCACCCGGCGUCAUGGUGACGUCACCCAACGCCUUGGGGACACCCUGAUGACGUCACCCAGUGUCACGGUGACGUCACCCAACACUGCGAUGAUGUCACCCAACGCCGUGGGGACACCGUGAUGACAUCACCCGGCGUCACGGUGACGUCACCCAACACCACAGGGACACCCUGAUGACGUCACCCAACACCAUGGUGACAUCACCCAACACCCCGAUGACGUCACCCAAUGUCACGUGGAUGUCACCCAACACCCAAUGACGUCACCAACACCCUGCUGAGGCUGUCCGCACCCUGGUGACGUCACCCAACAUCCCCGUGACGUCACCCAACGUCACAUUAAUGUCACCCAACACCUCGAUGACGUCACCAGCACCACGGUGAUGUCACCCAAGGCCCCGAUGACGUCACCCAACCCCCUGACGAUGUCCCUAAGGUCCCAAUGACAUCACCCAACACCACACUGACGUCACCCAACGCCCCAACGACGCGCCCAACACAACAAAGACGCCACCAAUGCCCCGAUGACAUCACCCAAUGCCCCAAAGACAUCACCCAACGCCACGUUGAUGUCCCCAAGGUCCCGAUGACGUCACCCAAUGCCAUGUUGAUGUCACCCAACGCCCCAACAACGCACCCAACGCAAUGAAGAUGCCACCAACACCCCGAUGACAUCACCCAAGGCCCUGAUGACAUCACCCAAGGCCCCAAUGAUGCCACCCAACGCCACCGAAGACCCCAAUGAUGUCCCCCAACGCAACGAAGAUGCCACCAAUGCCCCGAUGACGCCCCCCAAGGCCCCAGUGCCAUCACCCAACCCCCUGAUGAUGUCCCCAAGGUCCUGAUGACGUCACCCAACACCAUGUUGAUGUCACCCAACGCCCCAACAACGCGCCUAACACAACGAAGAUGCCACCAACG
rnacentral:lncRNA from 1 species